UUACAGAAAACGCUUCUCAAGUUGGUGUCCUUGUAUUCAGCGAUCCACAAGAAUGUGACAUUGUGAGCGUACAGAAUGGAAGUCAUCUUGAACUAUGGGUACCCGAAAAUCACAAGGACAAUGUUUCUGAUUGCUGUAAUUUUAUGUUUACAUACUUUAUGCCAAACGGAACAGAGAAAUACGAUGUAUACAAAACAGAAAAUUGCAGCUGAGCGCAGCGUGGCAAGCUGUUUUCAUGUAGCAACAGGACUCGCUCAAUACAGAGUGCUUUGUAGUGUACGAAUUGUGGCAUCUAUGUGGACUCGUUCACCAGUAGUUGUUAAUAAAUAUUCUAAUGCACUGGA